rnacentral:lncRNA from 1 species
AUGGCGGGGGCGGGGCUCGGCGGCUCGCCAGCCAGGGCCGGGGGGGAGGGAAACAAGAUGGCGGCUGCGGGAGGGGGUCCUCGCUUUUCAGCUCCCCCCUCACCCGCCUUCUCCUUCCCCGCCGCCGCCCUCGCUCCAGGAGAGCGCUUUCGCGCCGCCCCCGCCCCGCUCGGGAAGCCCCCUGCUUUCCACUCCCUGCCCCCCCCCCCCCGCGCGCAGUCCCUGGUCCCCGUAGGCCCCGCUGCCCCCGCCCCCGCUCCGUUCGGCCCCUCUGCCACCCCCAUUACCUCAGCCGCCGGCCCGGCCCCACCGUUCGGGGCCCCUGGGCGCGGGCGGGCCGGCCGUCGAGCAGGUCGGCGCGGCCCUGGGAGCGGAGCGCGGCCUCCUCCCGCGCUAGCCUCCGCGGCCACCGCCGUGCCCCCUCCCGGCCCGCGCAGGGGCCCCGGCCCGGCCGCCGCCGCCGCUCCCGGGGGAGGAGGGGGAAUGAAGCCGCUGCCGCCGCCGCUGCCGCCACGGAGCCCGGCCGAGGGGAGGGAGGGAUCAGCCCCCAGGCAGGAUCCGCCCCUCCGGCCUCCCCCCCGCCACCUCCACCCCUUCCCUCGCUCCCUCCCUGGCUCCGCGGGCUCUCCCGCUGAACAGGAGCGAGAGCGCGAAAGAGGGGGGAACGCGAAGAAAAUCCCCCCGCCCGUGCCCGGCGCAGCGGCGGCCGGGGCGGCGCGGAGAGGAGCGCGGAGCCGCCGCCGCCACGGGGCACCGUCCCCGGCUCGGCCUCACGGUGGCGGUGCGGACGCGGCAGGGGCGCGGAGCAGAGACCGGCUCUGCGCCCGCCGCGGCCGUGGCUCACCCCGGCAUACCCCGCCGCCGGGCGAACCCCACAAGACAGCGGGGGACGUUCGGGUCUGGUUGGGAAAGACCGGCAUCCCUAACUCCUUAGAGUGGUCAGUCGUCCACUCCCCCUGCUCCUGCGAGAGGUGGCUACGGUUUGGGGCAACAAACCCCCUACCCGCGCUUGAGGGCCCCUCCAGAGGUUAA